rnacentral:rRNA from 1 species
UGAUUAGUGGCGAACGGGUGAGUACACGUGGGCAAUCUGCCCUGCACUCUGGGACAAGCCCUGGAAACGGGGUCUAAUACCGGAUACGACACGGGACCGCAUGGUCUUCGUGUGGAAAGCUCCGGCGGUGCAGGAUGAGCCCGCGGCCUAUCAGCUUGUUGGUGAGGUAAUGGCUCACCAAGGCGACGACGGGUAGCCGGCCUGAGAGGGCGACCGGCCACACUGGGACUGAGACACGGCCCAGACUCCUACGGGAGGCAGCAGUGGGGAAUAUUGCACAAUGGGCGAAAGCCUGAUGCAGCGACGCCGCGUGAGGGAUGACGGCCUUCGGGUUGUAAACCUCUUUCAGCAGGGAAGAAGCGAAAGUGACGGUACCUGCAGAAGAAGCGCCGGCUAACUACGUGCCAGCAGCCGCGGUAAUACGUAGGGCGCAAGCGUUGUCCGGAAUUAUUGGGCGUAAAGAGCUCGUAGGCGGCUUGUCACGUCGGAUGUGAAAGCCCGGGGCUUAACCCCGGGUCUGCAUUCGAUACGGGCAGGCUAGAGUUCGGUAGGGGAGAUCGGAAUUCCUGGUGUAGCGGUGAAAUGCGCAGAUAUCAGGAGGAACACCGGUGGCGAAGGCGGAUCUCUGGGCCGAUACUGACGCUGAGGAGCGAAAGCGUGGGGGAGCGAACAGGAUUAGAUACCCUGGUAGUCCACGCCGUAAACGGUGGGCACUAGGUGUGGGCAACAUUCCACGUUGUCCGUGCCGCAGCUAACGCAUUAGUGCCCCGCCUGGGGGAGUACGGCCGCAGCUAAACUCAAGGAUGACGGGGUCCGCACAGCAGCGAGCAUGUGCUAUCGACGCACGCGA